UACGGAGGGUGCGAGCGUUAAUCGGAGUUACUGGGCGUAAAGGGCGCGUAGGCGGUUAUAUAAGUGAGAUGUGAAAUCCCUGGGCUUAACCUAGGAACUGCAUCUCAUACUGUAUGACUGGAGUAUUGUAGAGGGUAGUGGAAUUUCCGGUGUAGCGGUGAAAUGCGUAGAGAUCGGAAGGAACACCAGUGGCGAAGGCGGCUACCUGGACAAAUACUGACGCUGAGG
rnacentral:rRNA from 1 species